GUGGGUAACCUGCCUGUAAGACUGGGAUAACUCCGGGAAACCGGAGCUAAUACCGGAUAGUUCCUUGAACCGCAUGGUUCAAGGAUGAAAGACGGUUUCGGCUGUCACUUACAGAUGGACCCGCGGCGCAUUAGCUAGUUGGUGGGGUAAUGGCUCACCAAGGCGACGAUGCGUAGCCGACCUGAGAGGGUGAUCGGCCACACUGGGACUGAGACACGGCCCAGACUCCUACGGGAGGCAGCAGUAGGGAAUCUUCCGCAAUGGACGAAAGUCUGACGGAGCAACGCCGCGUGAGUGAUGAAGGUUUUCGGAUCGUAAAGCUCUGUUGUUAGGGAAGAACAAGUGCGAGAGUAACUGCUCGCACCUUGACGGUACCUAACCAGAAAGCCACGGCUAACUACGUGCCAGCAGCCGCGGUAAUACGUAGGUGGCAAGCGUUGUCCGGAAUUAUUGGGCGUAAAGGGCUCGCAGGCGGUUUCUUAAGUCUGAUGUGAAAGCCCCCGGCUCAACCGGGGAGGGUCAUUGGAAACUGGGAAACUUGAGUGCAGAAGAGGAGAGUGGAAUUCCACGUGUAGCGGUGAAAUGCGUAGAGAUGUGGAGGAACACCAGUGGCGAAGGCGACUCUCUGGUCUGUAACUGACGCUGAGGAGCGAAAGCGUGGGGAGCGAACAGGAUUAGAUACCCUGGUAGUCCACGCCGUAAACGAUGAGUGCUAAGUGUUAGGGGGUUUCCGCCCCUUAGUGCUGCAGCUAACGCAUUAAGCACUCCGCCUGGGGAGUACGGUCGCAAGACUGAAACUCAAAGGAAUUGACGGGGGCCCGCACAAGCGGUGGAGCAUGUGGUUUAAUUCGAAGCAACGCGAAGAACCUUACCAGGUCUUGACAUCCUCUGACAACCCUAGAGAUAGGGCUUUCCCUUCGGGGACAGAGUGACAGGUGGUGCAUGGUUGUCGUCAGCUCGUGUCGUGAGAUGUUGGGUUAAGUCCCGCAACGAGCGCAACCCUUGAUCUUAGUUGCCAGCAUUCAGUUGGGCACUCUAAGGUGACUGCCGGUGACAAACCGGAGGAAGGUGGGGAUGACGUCAAAUCAUCAUGCCCCUUAUGACCUGGGCUACACACGUGCUACAAUGGACAGAACAAAGGGCUGCAAGACCGCAAGGUUUAGCCAAUCCCAUAAAUCUGUUCUCAGUUCGGAUCGCAGUCUGCAACUCGACUGCGUGAAGCUGGAAUCGCUAGUAAUCGCGGAUCAGCAUGCCGCGGUGAAUACGUU
rnacentral:rRNA from 1 species